AUGAAGAUAAUUAAGGUUCCUUGGAGACCAUACGAUCCAGCCCUGGGGCAGGAAAAAAUUGGAAAUGUUUGUGAGCUGGAGUGGCAGGCAAAAGGCAAACAAGGAGAAGACAGGUGGAGACACAGCAGGCGCGGACGACCUGGACAGAGCAUGAGCGGGGAAUGCACUGGCAGAAUGACAUUAGAAGUGAAAAGGCGGGGGAAGGGAGGAAGUGAAAGUGUGAAAUCAGAUUCAAGAGGUUAAAGGUGGUGAGGAGGCCGUGUGAGGACACCUUCUUCAGCGGAGGAAGUGAGUCUGAAAGUCUAUCGCAUCUGCACAGCAUUUGUGAGUAAAUCCUUCUGGAACCUGCUCCCUGCAGACCCCUUGGAGCUGUGGAUUCAGCAGCAAGCCCUCAGCUCCUCCCCUCUGC
rnacentral:lncRNA from 1 species